AGAGUUUGAUCCUGGCUCAGGACGAACGCUGGCGGCGUGCCUAACACAUGCAAGUCGAGCGGAGACAGUGAGUAGCUUGCUAUGAGCUGUUUUAGCGGCGGACGGGUGAGUAACGCGUGAGCAACCUUUCCCAGACAGGGGAAUAACACACCGAAAGGUGUACUAAUACCGCAUAAGACCACGGGAUCACAUGGUUCUGAGGUAAAAGAUUUAUCGGUUUGGGGUGGGCUCGCGUCCGAUUAGGUAGUUGGUGAGGUAACGGCCCACCAAGCCGACGAUCGGUAGCCGACCUGAGAGGGUGAUCGGCCACAUUGGGACUGAGACACGGCCCAAACUCCUACGGGAGGCAGCAGUGGGGAAUAUUGCACAAUGGGGGAAACCCUGAUGCAGCGACGCCGCGUGAGUGAAGAAGUAUUUCGGUAUGUAAAGCUCUAUCAGCAGGGAAGAAAAUGACGGUACCUGACUAAGAAGCCCCGGCUAACUACGUGCCAGCAGCCGCGGUAAUACGUAGGGGGCAAGCGUUGUCCGGAAUAAUUGGGCGUAAAGGGCGCGUAGGCGGCUCGGUAAGUCUGGAGUGAAAGUCCUGCUUUUAAGGUGGGAAUUGCUUUGGAUACUGUCGGGCUUGAGUGCAGGAGAGGUUAGUGGAAUUCCCAGUGUAGCGGUGAAAUGCGUAGAGAUUGGGAGGAACACCAGUGGCGAAGGCGACUAACUGGACUGUAACUGACGCUGAGGCGCGAAAGUGUGGGGAGCAAACAGGAUUAGAUACCCUGGUAGUCCACACUGUAAACGAUGAAUGCUAGGUGUAGGGGGUAUCGACCCCUUCUGUGCCGCAGUCAACACAAUAAGCAUUCCGCCUGGGGAGUACGGCCGCAAGGUUGAAACUCAAAGGAAUUGACGGGGGCCCGCACAAGCAGCGGAGCAUGUGGUUUAAUUCGACGCAACGCGAAGAACCUUACCAGGUCUUGACAUCCACUUAAACUUACAGAGAUGUAAGGUGUGCUUGCACAAAGUGAGACAGGUGGUGCAUGGUUGUCGUCAGCUCGUGUCGUGAGAUGUUGGGUUAAGU
rnacentral:rRNA from 1 species